GAAGCGGGAAGAGCCCAGCACCGAAUCCCGCAGCCUUGCGCUGCAGGGAACUGUGGUGUUUGGGACGUCGACUGCUGCGUCCGUUUCGAGUGCCCAAGUCCUCCUGAUCGGGGCCUCUCCCAGAGCGGGUGUCAGGCCUUUACCGGCACUCGGCGGCGCGGCUGCGAGCGUCCUUGGAGUCGGGUUGUUUGAGAAUGCAGCCCAAAGCGGGUGGUAAACUCCAUCUAAG
rnacentral:rRNA from 1 species